GAUGAACGCUGGCGGCGUGCCUAACACAUGCAAGUCGAGCGAUUUACUUCGGUAAAGAGCGGCGGACGGGUGAGUAACGCGUGGGUAACCUGCCUCAUACACAUGGAUAACAUACCGAAAGGUAUGCUAAUACAGGAUAAUAUAAGAGAUUCACAUGGAUUUUUUAUCAAAGCUCCGGCGGUAUGAGAUGGACCCGCGUCUGAUUAGCUAGUUGGUAAGGUAAUGGCUUACCAAGGCGACGAUCAGUAGCCGACCUGAGAGGGUGAUCGGCCACAUUGGAACUGAGACACGGUCCAAACUCCUACGGGAGGCAGCAGUGGGGAAUAUUGCACAAUGGGCGAAAGCCUGAUGCAGCAACGCCGCGUGAGUGAUGAAGGCCUUCGGGUCGUAAAACUCUGUCCUCAAGGAAGAUAAUGACGGUACUUGAGGAGGAAGCCCCGGCUAACUACGUGCCAGCAGCCGCGGUAAUACGUAGGGGGCUAGCGUUAUCCGGAUUUACUGGGCGUAAAGGGUGCGUAGGUGGUUUUUUAAGUCAGGAGUGAAAGGCUACGGCUCAACCGUAGUAAGCUCUUGAAACUGGAAAACUUGAGUGCAGGAGAGGAAAGUGGAAUUCCUGGUGUAGCGGUGAAAUGCGUAGAUAUCAGGAGGAACACUCGUGGCGAAGGCGGCUUUCUGGCCUGAAACUGACGCUGAGGCGCGAAAGCGUGGGUAGCAAACAGGAUUAGAUACCCUGGUAGUCCACGCCGUAAACGAUGAGUGCUUGGUGUUGGAGGUAUCGAUCCCUUCGGUGCCGUAGUUAACGCGGUAAGCACUCCGCCUGGGGAGUACGGUCGCAAGACUGA
rnacentral:rRNA from 1 species